rnacentral:lncRNA from 1 species
UUUUUUUUUUUUUUUUUUUUUUUUACCUUUGAGAAAGAAGUACAGGAGGAGUAACUUCACCAAGAGGCUAGAAGACAGAGACUGAAGCGAAGUUGACAGAAAUGGCCAAAGGACUUUAAGCACUGAUAAAUCUAGUAUUUGCUUAUUUUUUUCUAGCAUCAUGGUUACCUUAACCCACUGGCAUACUCCGCAGCAUUUUAUAACGAUCACAUAGGUACAGUAACUGGGUUAUCUAGUUGGAAAAGAGACAACAUAUGUAAAACCCCAAGAUAGUCCAUAGGUUGACAUAGUACAAAAAAAAGAAGCUCGAGGAACCAGCAACCAGGAAAGCCAUCCCACUCUUACUCCUCAUGCUGCCAUGGAUAUGAAUUAAACCUGUUUCCUUUGUAGGGUCAUCAUUAGCAGAAAUCUUGGCUUUUUAUUUUAUUUUAUUUUUUUACUUCCUGCUUUGCCAACAGGGUAUGAAGCUAAUAGUACACAGUUAAAAAAAAAAUCUGUUUGAACUAUUUGGCCAUUUUCAUUAAUGCAGAAAGAAAAUUCAGAUGCACAGAGUGGCUGAGGUUCAGUCAGUUUUAGAAAUCUGCUCUCAGUCACUAGAGAUGUAUCUCUCAGGUACCUUAUUUCCCAAUAUAUAAUUAAACCUUUGCUCACAAUUAAUAUUUCUUGUCACUUGUCAGUGGAAACUAGAAGGAUACCUAUAAGAGACAGAAUAAGAAUACAGUGAAUAAUGGCUUUAGUGAUUUAUACGGGCAGAAAAAAACAUUUACCUUGAGAAAAAUCCAGAUGGGUGUUUUUGUUUAACACUUACUCAUAUGUCAUUUAACAUAGUUCAAUAUCAUUUUUCACUAGCUUGAUACCAUCUAGCCUCUAGUUACUUUUUUCUUUUGAAGGGACCAUGUGAGUGUUUUUUUACUGAGUUUCUCUACGGAGCAGUUUAUAAGAAAAGCUAUAAGAUUAAUGAAUAUGAACUUCCUCCAGUGAUACGAGUAGAUAGAAACUGUGGGAAACAGAUCUGUAAAGAAUGCAGUACUGGCUAAUCUAGGCUGAACUUCCAAUGCUUACAGCUAGGAGAAUUCAAGGGACACUUAGUAAAUCUGUUGGAGCGAUUUAGGCUAAAGUUCCAUAAUUGCUCAAUAAUAAUAUUCAUCAUCUGCUAUUUGGAAAGCACACAAUUAGGCACUGUGGAAAGCAAAUAUGAAGAAAACACAGCCUUAUAUUUAGAGAUUGUAUCAUCUAGGGUCAAAAUCUGGUUUAUAAUCUGGGCAUUAAGUUAACAACGUCAGAAAGUGCCCUAAAUCACACUACCGAAUUCUAGGAUUCGGAGGAAGACAUGUCAUUUUCUGUGGCUUGAUCUGGGGACAUAACAUUUGAACUAGACACUGGGGUUGGGUUGGAUUUAACAGGUCAGCACAGGGAAGACGAGAAAGUGGAGAGAGAAAUCCUAGGUAGAAUGAAUGACAUGUGUCUGCCUCCAAAAAUCUCUCUUCAAUUUGCCUCUGAGCAUCACUACCCUUGUACUUACCAGGUGUCCAUUGUACUUAACAACUGUCCUUAGUAAUUGUACUUAGUGAUUGUGCUUAACAGUUACUCUUGUUACUUCCUGCUUGCCCUUAUGGCAACUGCCUCCUUAGUAGUUCUUCUUCCUUUGCUAAUAUAUUCUUUGAAAGCAUCGUCGCAUAUGCUACUCGGCUACGAAAAAACAUGAAAUGUUUCUGAUUGCAUACCUAAAAAAUAAAGUUCACAUCCAAGGCCCUUCAUAUGUGGCCCAGUCCUACCAGUGGUGAUUUCUGCACCCUCUGGGGGACAUUUAACAACGAGUGGAGACAUUUUAGGCUGUCACCAUUCAGGGGAUGGUGUUCCUAGUGGCUCAAGGAUGCCACUAAAUAUCCUAUAAGGCAUGGGACUGCCCUCCACGACAAAGAAUUGCCUCACCCAAACCACCAAUUGCAUUGAGAUAGGAAAAACCCUAGUUCAUACAACACCUAAUUCGAUUGUGUAAUUAUAAUAACAAGUGCAAUAGAAUUGAGAAAAGAGACGACUGACUCAAUAAAUGUAGCGCUCAACUAGCAGCUACAGGAUUCUGUGGGUGAAGAGGAGAGUAAUUGCUUAGCAUGAGCACUUAGUGUGUGUUCCUGCACAUCACCCAGUGUUUACACAGGAAAUGCAAUGCAAUGCAUUGUUUAAUCUCCAGUGUUGUUUUAGCGGAUGGUAAGGAAGGAAGCUUUUAUUGAACAAGCUAUGUACCUUGGCAUUGCUGGACUCUCGCAUCCAUUCUUACCUAGGCCUGGAAUUCCCUUUCUUGCUCUCUGCGAACCCACUUCUCUUUCAAGUCCCACAAAACUAUCACAUUCCAGGGAAAACUUUCCCUAAUUUUCCACAUGGUCAGUUGGUCUAGCAAGUUCCUCAGACCUCACUUACAACAUGCUUCACACAGAAUUGUACUCAUUUACAGUGCAUGGCUCUUCUGCGUAGAAGUACUGUGAUACUAAUCACAGUAGUGGCACAUCAAAAAGAAAGCAACACAUGUUGCUUUACUGAAUGGAUGAGGAAGGAUGAAAAAAUUACAUUUGCUAGAAACAGGGAAUAGUCACCUUUGGAUGGGAAAGCAGGCAUCCAUGGAAGAAUGGCGAAAGCUCAGACUGCAGAGACACAUGGGGCUUUGUGUGCAGUGUGCUUUGAAGGCCUGGGACUAGUGGUUUCUUUGGGAGCAUUUGGAGUAACUAGAAUGAGUUUCUCAUCAAGGGGUGACACGAAGUGGCACUGUAGAAACCUAAUCUGGUGGAGCUAUUAGAAAGUAUUUGGUAAUUACGAAGCAUUUGAUCAUUGGAUCAUAAUGUACACCAGGCUUACGUAAGUAUUGUGGUUUUAAUGCCUGUGAUGAGAGCCUGUGAAUCUUAAUCUGGGGUCACUCCCAAGCCUAGAAGAGUAAGAGUAAGGCAAAACAGCACUGUAAUCCCACUACCUGUCUCGGGGGACCUGUGUAUUCCACUGAAGAAUGGGAGUGGAUCCAAUUGCAGAAACCAUGACAGGGUUUCGAGCUGCCCAAAGUCUGAGAUGCACUGGGGGGGGCGGGGGGAGAAGUACCCUCCUGGUUGCUAUGCUUUCUUGGUAUCAUCGUUGGUGGGCCCUACUGUUGGUAUCUAGGCCACCAUAGAAGAAUCUGGUGACUCUUAUUUCUGUCCACUCAUCUUUUCCAUCUUUCUUUUUAUAGCCACAGCAUUUCCUUUCCUUGGGGGAAUUCUGGUCCUGUUCACCCAGUUCUGGUACGCGUAUCAAUUAUUGCACACCUACCCUCUACUUUUACAGGUGCAUCUGAAUACAGGGCUCAGACGGCACCAAUCAGCUUGCCACAUCCCCCUGGACAGUUGUGCAUCUCCCAGGGUUGUGCAUAAACAACCAAACCAGGCCAAUCAGAGUUCUUCCCCAGAGCUGGAAGUUGGAGUUGGAGAGGAAUUGCUUUCUUCUGCUUAGUAAACUCUAAGGAUAUGGACCUGGAUUGUCAGUGGCCAUCCUCUCUGAUGUGUGGAGACUCCUUUCAUGGAGUUGAAAAUAAAGGAGCCAAUGUAAAGAGAAGCAGGGACCAACAGCAAUAAGAACUGGAUGGAGACAAAUAUAAUUGUGGCACUAAGGUCCCCGGUCCAGUCUCUGAGCAAUUGGUCUCUGUGGCUUUUCUUCCAAGGUCAUGACCUAUCUCAGUAUGCUUCCUAACUAGAGGACUCAACCCACUUCCCUUCUUGUGUAAGUUAAUUUUUGUUGGGUUGUGGUCAUACAUAACCAAAGGAAAUGUGACUACUAGUUACCCCUUAACCUGAGGGUGUAGUAACACAGGGAACAGGUGUCAGCAGCAGGCUGGCAUCUGAAAUACCGGCUCUUGCUGUCAUGUACAAUUUUCCUCCUUCUUGAUCAGGGAUACAAAAUAGGGAUAUCCCACCUUGAUUCUCUACCCAAUUCUUCUCAAAAUCCAAAAAAAUUAUUAAAAAUAGAAACACAAAGGCUUCAGUUCCAACAGCAAAAGAACUUAAAACAUUUAAAAUAUGAAGAACUCUGUUCUUCGUCUGGAUCACCUCAGCAGUGAUUCCAGGUGUUCCCUUCUAGCAAAGUGAGCCUGUCAGGAUGUGGUUCCUCUUAGUUGGAGACUCGGAGAGCACACAGACAGGGUUUCUCCAUCUCUUC